rnacentral:piRNA from 1 species
UCUUAGUGGACUCACUUGGGUUGGGGUA